rnacentral:tRNA from 1 species
CAAAACAUAGCUUAACUAAAGCCCCUCGCUUACACCGAGAAAAUGCCUGUUAGACCCAGACUGUUUUGA